UGUGUGUGGCACUCUGAAGAAUCUGUCCAGAUGAAGCCUCUGCUUCUGCAAGCUCACAGCCUGCGGUCCUGAUCCUGUAAUUUACCCUGCAUGGUCCUUUCCUCAUGGAAACCUAAGCAUUCAAGAGCAGGACAUUGGGACACAGGAAGGGAGAAGCUGCCCUAUUCAGGCACUGGUGGGGAACACUAAACAGCUGCUGGUUCAAGCAGCAGACCCAACGGCUUAAGAAGAGCACAAGGCUCUGGCCCUCUGAGUGCAGGAGGAGAAGCAGUCAGCCCUAAAAGCAGCUUCUUGUUCAGACCCUUCUCAGUUUUCCCUGGGAAGGAGCCAGCACAGAGCACCCUGUCUGUUCCCGUGAGCCCAUCCAAGACCACAGCCUCACGAUCUCUGAACUGCUGUACCAACAGGAGCGUGUCUGUACCCUAUCCGAGCAGCGAUGGCAGCUGUUGUCGUGGGACGAUGACAGCCAAGUCUGCAGCUCCAGCACCCCUGAGCGGCCAGGGACGGCUGUGCCUCUCUGACCUUUACCGUGGGCCCAGCCCUCUGAGCCGGUUGGCCCAGCUCCCUCAUGCUGAGGCUGCGAGGGGCUCGGAGCUGAGCCACCCAGGCAGGUUGCUCUGAAAAGGUCAAAGUGGUACAGCCCAGUGCUGGCACGGGGGUGGCGGAGGGGAUCUGGGGCUUGUUGCUGGGACAGCAGCUGUGGGGUGAGAGCUCACCCUGGCCCUGGCUGUGGGGGAACCGCAGCUAAUGCCUGCCCCAGUGGUGGCAUCUGUGGCUCCAGAGGUGCAUCCCAGCACGCUGUGUGAUUCAGCUGGGAUUUGGCAGCUGUGGUUUUCCACUGGGGACAUUGCAGGGGAUGGUUCAGAGCCACUCAGCUGGUGCAGGCAGGUGGGAGCAGGGAUGAGGGAUGCACCGCGAUCCAGGCUGGCAUGGCAGUGCCAGUGGAAAGGCACACUGGACCACCAUGAUGCCCCAGAGGUACUGUGGGAAAGUGAUGUGGGGCUGGUUCUUCUUGUGCUGGCUCAGGAUUUGCAUCAAUCCCCCCAGGCCUCAUGGAGCCCCUGGAAGUGGUUGCUACAGCCUGGUGGUUGUGGUUCAUCCCCAGUGUUUGUGCCAGAUGCGAGCAGAGCUGUAAGCUUGGGCAAUAUGGCUGUGCCUGCCGCCCUCCCUGCAGGUAUGAUGCUACUUAGCAGGACUUUGUGUAGUUUUGGGAAAGGAAGGAUUAGGCAAGACAGAGAAGAGGAAAUGCAUUUUUUCCCCUGUAUUUUCAUUUUUUUUGCUGGUGUGGGCACAGGCUCAUGGGGUCACCGUUCAUUCCAGCAGCCCAGGCAGAUGCACACACCAGAUUUAGUGACCGCACACUGUGGUCCAGUUGUGUGUGUGGCUGAUGCAAAGCUUGGAAAGUAAUAAACACAAGCUUCCCUGAGCAGGGCAUGUCCGUUAUUGCGUGCACACUGUAAUUCAGGAACUAGCAGAUGUCUGAGCUUCGUGCCCAGCCUGACAGAGACACAAGAAGGGAACUGGUUCAGGGUCUGUGCACAGCUGCGCUGGUCAGAUGACUGUCAGCUGAACCUGUCCCCAAACUAGACCUGAUUUAUCAUAGCAGGGACUCUGACCUUUGUUUAGUCACAAAAAUACCAUCUUGGAAAGCUCUCUGAAGGCUUUAUAAAGAAACAGUGGUAGCAAUAAUAGCUCAUGGGCGUGUCUUCAAAGGACCCUUUGCCUGCCAGUGAAGAUGCGCAGCCCUCUCCUUCGCUUGCCUCUCAUCAGGGCUGGUCAGGGGCAAUCACAAAAGACUUUCAAGGGGCCCGGCUCACGGGAUAGUUGACAUCUCUGCUUGCAUUUGCCUGGGGGGACAGGGCAUUGCUCUGGCUGGUGAUCCUGUUUCCUCCUUCAGGCAAGUGGUGCAGCUCUGCCUGCAAUGUGAGUGCCUCAGACCCACAGCCAGCCCCAGGCUGUUUGGUGGCCAGGGCAACAUGAGUUGGCAGCUGCCAUUGGAUCCUGUGCCAUGACCUCAGACCAGGCUGAGCAAGCAGGGCUAUGCUUCUCAUGUCAGAGCCUCCUUGCUUGGAACUUAAAACCUGGGCUCGAGCUCUGCUCUCACGUGAUGGGAUGGCCAGAGGCUGCCUGAAGAUGGCUCUGCAGCUUGGUGUGGCCAGGACUCGACCACGUCUCCAAACAUAGCUGAAAAAGAGAACUGGAGAGGCCUGUGGCUUUCCUUUCAACCUCAUCUGCCUUGGCUGGGCACAUCAUGCUGCAGACGUUGCAGCCACAGCAGAGCAGUUGAAGUGCUCAAUCGCAGAGCCUGAAGCCGUGUAGGCAGGCAGGGCUCUGGGGGCCCUUCCUGUGCUUUGGUGAGACUGUGGAACAAAACAGGCUAUGGCCUGGGCUGCUCCUAUGGCUGUGAACAUGUGAGAGUGUUUUCUUCCAACUGGAAGUGCUGUGUACCAGGGUUACAUAUUCACCAGCGCUCCUUUCCUCUCAAAGUCCAGAGGGCAGUUGUCUUUGCCCACUGUGUAAAGCGAUAGGGACUUUCUGUUUGCAGGAAGAAGGGAGCACAAGUUGGUGGCUAUAACUCAGGUGUGGCAACCUGCAGAUAUGAGUUCCAUUAGCCCGCGGGCACUGCUGUGCUGAGUCUUAAUUACCAGUAGCUCUUAAUUCCUUCCUUUUUCUUUAUCCAAAAAGCACUGAUGAAGGUGGCGAAUGAAUCCUGAAAGACAACGGGUCCCCCUGUCAAUGGGACCGCAGCAGCAGCCCUGCAGAGGAGGCUGACCUUGUGCAACACUUAUCUGUAAAACUGUUCCACGAAGGCGAGUGCACAAGGAGCGGGUGUUUGUAGCUGUGGCCUCGAGCGAGUCGUAGCAACUCCUGCCAAAUAGGACUUGGUUCAAGACCUUUUCGGCAACCUUAAGUGUUAAGUUUCAUAGCUAAGCAAUUUUCAUAGUUUAAGCAAGCAACACAAAACACCCCUUGGAGGAGCAGGCAGAAUGCCACUGAGUUAUAUGGGUGACUAUAAGGAAAUCAGGAGAGCAGGGUAUGGAAGGACAAGAAGAAUGCACCAAAGUCAGUGAUUGCAUAAUUUGUUUGCAGUGAGUCACGGUCUUCCACUUUCUCACAUUCCCCUCCACCUCCUGCACAACAACAUACUGUCUAGGUCUCUGCGGUGUUUUGUGGAACAACCGUGUCUCCCUCCCGGCUUUCCUGGACUGCCCUGGUGAUCCUGCAACUCAACAAUGCCUGCAGUAUCGUUUCAUUAACACACCUGAUUUUUAAUGCUUCAGUGAUAUUUACCUAAGUCCUGGGGCUGCACUGAGGAAAAAAUUGCUCCUUUUACCAAGAGGAGCCUGAUGGAAAAGCUGUUUCAUCAAAGGAACAAAAGUUUGGGAAGAGGAGGAAAAGUCAAAUGAGUGCAAACACUGAUCAAAGCACCCUCUUGCUCAAAACGAGUACUAAGAAAACUUGCUCAGUGGGUCACGAUGAGCUCAUUCAGUCUACUCGGUUACUGGAAAAAUCUUCCACUUUGAGAACUCCGUAUGUGUCUGUGUUGAGUCAGAGCCUGGUGCAGCAGCUUCAGUACACAUUUUUGUUAUCAAAAAAGUCCCUUUUGUCUUUUGCAACCCCCCAAAAAAUUCUGGCCUGAA